rnacentral:rRNA from 2 species
GUGUGCGGGUGCUAAUACAUGCAAGUCGAGCGAACUGAUUAGAAGCUUGCUUCUAUGACGUUAGCGGCGGACGGGUGAGUAACACGUGGGCAACCUGCCUGUAAGACUGGGAUAACUUCGGGAAACCGAAGCUAAUACCGGAUAGGAUCUUCUCCUUCAUGGGAGAUGAUUGAAAGAUGGUUUCGGCUAUCACUUACAGAUGGGCCCGCGGUGCAUUAGCUAGUUGGUGAGGUAACGGCUCACCAAGGCAACGAUGCAUAGCCGACCUGAGAGGGUGAUCGGCCACACUGGGACUGAGACACGGCCCAGACUCCUACGGGAGGCAGCAGUAGGGAAUCUUCCGCAAUGGACGAAAGUCUGACGGAGCAACGCCGCGUGAGUGAUGAAGGCUUUCGGGUCGUAAAACUCUGUUGUUAGGGAAGAACAAGUACAAGAGUAACUGCUCGUACCUUGACGGUACCUAACCAGAAAGCCACGGCUAACUACGUGCCAGCAGCCGCGGUAAUACGUAGGUGGCAAGCGUUAUCCGGAAUUAUUGGGCGUAAAGCGCGCGCAGGCGGUUUCUUAAGUCUGAUGUGAAAGCCCACGGCUCAACCGUGGAGGGUCAUUGGAAACUGGGGAACUUGAGUGCAGAAGAGAAAAGCGGAAUUCCACGUGUAGCGGUGAAAUGCGUAGAGAUGUGGAGGAACACCAGUGGCGAAGGCGGCUUUUUGGUCUGUAACUGACGCUGAGGCGCGAAAGCGUGGGGAGCAAACAGGAUUAGAUAC